AACGAACGUUGGCGGCGUGGAUUAGGCAUGCAAGUCGAACGAAUCUCACUCGGGUAGCAAUACUCGGGUGGGGGAAGUGGCGAAAGGGGCAGUAAGGCGUGGGUAACCUACCCCGGGGACCGGGAUAGCCGGCCCAACGGCCGGGUAAGACCGGGCGACGUGCACGGGUCGCAUGGCCUGGGCACCAAAAGGACAACCGCCCCGGGAGGGGCCCGCGUGGUAUUAGCUAGUUGGUGGGGUAAUGGCCUACCAAGGCUUAGAUGCCUAGCAGGCGUGAGAGCGUGGCCUGCGCCACUGGCACUGAGACACUGGCCAGACUCCUACGGGAGGCUGCAGUCGAGGAUCUUCGGCAAUGGGCGCAAGCCUGACCGAGCGACGCCGCGUGCGCGACGAAGGCCUUCGGGUUGUAAAGCGCUGUCGGGGGGGAGGAAAGCCCGCAAGGGUCUGACCCACCCCCGGAGGAAGCACGGGCUAAGUUCGUGCCAGCCGCCGCGGAAAAA
rnacentral:rRNA from 1 species